rnacentral:sRNA from 1 species
CGCCGACGACGACGACGACUUCGACGACGACGAGGACGACCUCG